UACGAAGGGGGCUAGCGUUGCUCGGAAUUACUGGGCGUAAAGCGUGCGUAGGCGGUUCUCCAAGUCCGUUGUGAAAGCCCCGGGCCUCAACCUGGGAAUGGGCAGUGGAAACUAGGGGACUGGAAUCUGGCAGAGGGGGGUGGAAUGCCGCGUGUAGCAGUGAAAUGCGUAGAGAUGCGGCGGAACACCGAUGGCGAAGGCAGCCCCCUGGGCUGAGAUUGACGCUCAGGCACGAAAGCGUGGGAGCAAACAGGA
rnacentral:rRNA from 1 species